AAGCGAAACGGCCCUCCGGGGCCGUCCCCGGCGGCGGACCGGGCCUGACGAGCAGCCGGGA
rnacentral:hammerhead_ribozyme from 1 species